rnacentral:rRNA from 1 species
GCUAACGCCGGGCCAGCGGCGGCGGGAAUAGGGAGGAUCAAAGGUGUAUCCGGAAUCAUUGGGUUUAAAGUGUCCGUAGGCGGUCGUAUAAGUCAGUGGUGAAAGCCCAUCGCUCAACGAUGGAACGGCCAUUGAUACUGUAAGACUUGAAUGCUUAGGAAGUAACUAGAAUAUGUAGUGUAGCGGUGAAAUGCUUAGAUAUUACAUGGAAUACCAAUUGCGAAGGCAGGUUACUACUAAGUGAUUGACGCUGAUGGACGAAAGCGUGGGGAGCGAACAGGAUUAGAUACCCUAGUAGUC